CUAACUCUGGGGCUUCCUGGACUGCACUGCACCUGGUGAUUUCAUUUGUUAUAUAGGCUGGAUCCCUGGAUUAAAGCAUCAGUAGCAAAUGGAACCUGGUCCUUGUUGAAAAUUAAUAUAAUGACUAAAACACAAACAAAACACCCAGCAAGGCUGGGGAACACUGGACCAUGGAACAUCCAAAAGCCUCCUCCAGGAGAGGGAACGCUCAGCCUGCCUGACCGGAAAACUGUACGCCCAAAGUGUGCACAGCCAGGAGAACAAACCUAAAAAUGAGUAAACCUGUGGACAGAGGACCAGGUAGUUUCACAACAGACCUGUCCUGCCGAAGCCCUGUUUCGAACUGCUCAGGAGGUUGCCACAACCCUAGUGGAAUGCGCGGACACCCAUUCUGGUGUCAGUCGCCUUGCACUAGAAUAGGUUUGAGUGAUGACCGAACAAAUUAAACACGCAAUGGUUUGCUUUCUAGCCAGCCAACCACAUUAAUGCAUGUUGUAAAAAACAAAAACAAAAAAACACAGCUCAGUAUCUGUGCGGCAGACAGAAAUCUUGUCCAAGUAAAUCCACAAAGCUCAAACUACAUCUAGUAAAGCCAGGUUAUCUCUGUUCCGGGAAAGUCUCCUAAGGAGGAAAAGCCUGAAAUACAAUUUCCUGGCUACAGUGUAAAAAACUGAAACAGGCUUCAGCUGGAACGUUGGAAUAGUACUGAGGAAUGCUCUAACUGGAAGACAAGAAAAGGAGGCUUGCAAGACAAAACCAUCAACUUAAGGUGGGUACACACUGGUCGAUAUAUCGCGGGUUCGUCGGCCAGUGAGUACGGCCGAUAUAUCUGUGAACUCCGUCGUUCACAGAUGUAUAGCGUCGGCCCCGCUGCACGGCCGACCACCCGUACACAUGCUGCGGUGGCC